AUUUCAUUCAUGUUUCACAUCGUUAAUUUGAUAAUGAAAGCUAUCAUCAUCUAUAAGGUGUACAUCAUGAAAUCGAUGGAACAUUUUUGCAUUAUUCGCGAUGUCGUACAGGUGAAUUUGCGAACGAGAUCAUAGGACAGAUAUCUCAAAGGCCAAUAGCUGGGGAUCGCCGGUCAAAUUUUCAAUGUUACGUACUCACACCCCUCUCCUCUUUUGCGACCUCUUGAGGCUUCGACCCACUCGCCUGAUAUCAAAACAAUACCAACGUUUUAUAGCGCACCUGAUUGCUC
rnacentral:misc_RNA from 1 species